GAUGAAGAACGUAGCGAAAUGCGAUAAGUAAUGUGAAUUGCAGAAUUCAGUGAAUCAUCGAAUCUUUGAACGCACCUUGCGCCCUUUGGCCAUUCCGAAGGGCAUGCCUGUUUGAGUAUCAUGAACACCUCAACUCUUCAUGGUUUUCCAUGAUGAGCUUGGACUUUGGGGGUCUUGCUGGACUGUGGGUCGGCUCCUCUCAAAUGAAUCAGCUUGCCGGUUUUUGGUGGGCAUCACAGGUGUGAUAACUAUCUACGCUUGUGGUUUUCCACCAGGGUAACCUUCAGCAGUGGAGGUUCACUGGAGCUUACAAAUGUCUCUCCUCUGUGAGGACAGCCCUUUGAAUGUUUGAUCUCAAAUCAGGUAGGACUACCCGCUGAACUUAAGCAUAUCAAUAAGCGGAGGA
rnacentral:misc_RNA from 1 species